CCUAUUUCAAGAAGCCAAAACCUGCUCAAAGCAGCCCAAGACCACCAAAAUUAGAAAUGUUCUAUGAAAAAAGUAAGCUUUUUGUUGACUAACUACCAAAAUAGAUUUAAAAAAUACAUAUAUCUUGUUUAACAAAGAACCCAUCUUUUGUCCGGUAACAUACAUUAGCCAAAAUAUAUAAAAACCCCAGACAAAAAUAUCAUUUGCAAUACUGACCAUGACCCUAUAUAUAGACUGCAG
rnacentral:misc_RNA from 1 species